rnacentral:rRNA from 1 species
GAGUUUGAUCAUGGCUCAGGAUGAACGCUAGCGGCAGGCUUAAUACAUGCAAGUCGAGGGGCAGCAUGGUUGUAGCAAUACAACUGAUGGCGACCGGCAAACGGGUGCGGAACACGUACACAACCUUCCUGUAACUGGGGAAUAACCAGGAGAAAUUCUGACUAAUACCCCAUAGUAUAAUGGUGUGGCAUCACACAGUUAUUAAAGAUUUAUUGGUUACAGAUGGGUGUGCGUAUGAUUAGCUAGUUGGUGCGGGUAACGGCCCACCAAGGCGACGAUCAUUAACUGGUGUGAGAGCACGACCAGUCACACGGGCACUGAGACACGGGCCCGACUCCUACGGGAGGCAGCAGUAAGGAAUAUUGGUCAAUGGACGCAAGUCUGAACCAGCCAUGCCGCGUGAAGGAUGAAGGUCCUCUGGAUUGUAAACUUCUUUUAUAGGGGAAGAAAUGCAUUUUUUCUAAAGUGUUUGACGGUACCCUAGGAA